GCAUCGAUGGCUCAACUGGGUAGAGAGAUGCCUACGACGCAGAGGACCUUGGUUCGACUCCGCGGUGAGGUC